rnacentral:rRNA from 1 species
GUAGUCUCGCACAGAUGCAUAUCAAUAAGCGGAGGAAAGAAACUAACAAGGAUUCCCCUAGUAACGGCGAGUGAAGCGGGAAGAGCUCAAAUUUGAAAUCUUAAAGGGUUUCCCUUUACGAAUUGUAGUUUAAAGAAGUGUUUUCUGUUGAGGUUUUGGUAAAAGUUCUUUGGAAUAGGACAUCAUAGAGGGUGAGAAUCCCGUAUUUGACCUUUACUUUCAACUUUGUGAUACACUUUCAAAGAGUCGGAUUGUUUGGGAAUGCAGUCCAAAAUGGGUGGUAAAUUUCAUCUAAAGCUAAAUAUUGGCGAGAGACCGAUAGCGAACAAGUACCGUGAGGGAAAGAUGAAAAGAACUUUGAAAAGAGAGUUAAACAGUACGUGAAAUUGUCAAAAGGGAAGCGUUUGACACCAGUGUUGUUUUUCUGAAAAUCAAUUAAAGAACUGUUUAUGCUAAGUUGUUUAGACUUUAUCAGCUAUCUGUUUAGUUUUGAGCUUUUCUUUAAUGCACUUUUCAGUUAACAAGUCAACAUCAAUUUCUUUUGCUGUAAAAAAGCUUGAGGAAGGUGGCUUGAGAUUCGUCUUAAGUGUUUAUAGCCUCUUGCCUAUGCAGUCGGAGAGAUUGAGGUCUGCAGCGUAGAUCCUUCGGGGCUAAAUGCAUUUGUGCUAAGUUAUAGCAUUUUAUAGACAACUUGUUGACUAUGAUUUGUCUUGUAGCUUACUCGCUUAUGUUAUUUUACCUACGCUUAGGAUGUUGAUCUGUAGUGCGUGCGC